GAUGAACGCUGGCGGCGUGCCUAAUACAUGCAAGUCGAGCGAACAGACGAGGAACUUGCUCCUCUGACGUUAGCGGCGGACGGGUGAGUAACACGUGGAUAACCUACCUAUAAGACUGGGAUAACUUCGGGAAACCGGAGCUAAUACCGGAUAAUAUAUUGAACCGCAUGGUUCAAUAGUGAAAGACGGGUUUGCUGUCACUGAUAGAUGGAUCCGCGCCGCAUUAGCUAGUUGGUAAGGUAACGGCUUACCAAGGCGACGAUUCGUAGCCGACCUGAGAGGGUGAUCGGCCACACUGGAACUGAGACACGGUCCAGACUCCUACGGGAGGCAGCAGUAGGGAAUCUUCCGCAAUGGGCGAAAGCCUGACGGAGCAACGCCGCGUGAGUGAUGAAGGUCUUCGGAUCGUAAAACUCUGUUAUUAGGGAAGAACAAAUGUGUAAGUAACUAUGCACGUAUUGACGGUACCUAAUCAGAAAGCCACGGCUAACUACGUG
rnacentral:rRNA from 1 species